rnacentral:rRNA from 1 species
GAUGAACGCUGGCGGCGUGCCUAAUACAUGCAAGUCGAGCGAACGGACGAGAAGCUUGCUUCUCUGAUGUUAGCGGCGGACGGGUGAGUAACACGUGGAUAACCUACCUAUAAGACUGGGAUAACUUCGGGAAACCGGAGCUAAUACCGGAUAAUAUUUUGAACCGCAUGGUUCAAAAGUGAAAGCCGGUCUUGCUGUCACUUAUAGAUGGAUCCGCGCUGCAUUAGCUAGUUGGUAAGGUAACGGCUUACCAAGGCAACGAUGCGUAGCCGACCUGAGAGGGUGAUCGGCCACACUGGAACUGAGACACGGUCCAGACUCCUACGGGAGGCAGCAGUAGGGAAUCUUCCGCAAUGGGCGAAAGCCUGACGGAGCAACGCCGCGUGAGUGAUGAAGGUCUUCGGAUCGUAAAACUCUGUUAUUAGGGAAGAACAUAUGUGUAAGUAACUGUGCACAUCUUGACGGUACCUAAUCAGAAAGCCACGGCUAACUACGUG